CACGUAGGGGGCAAGCGUUGUCCGGAUUUAUUGGGCGUAAAGAGCUCGUAGGCGGUUCGGUAAGUUGGGUGUGAAACCUCCAGGCUCAACCUGGAGACGCCACCCGAUACUGCUGUGACUAGAGUCCGGUAGGGGAGCGUGGAAUUCCUGGUGUAGCGGUGAAAUGCGCAGAUAUCAGGGAGGAACACCGGUGGCGAAGGCGGGCGCUGGCGGCGAACUGACGCUGAGGAGCGAAAGCGUGGGGGAGCGAACAGG
rnacentral:rRNA from 1 species